UCCGAGUUGACCCCGGCAGUCUCCCAUGAGUCCCCACCAUCACGUGCUGGCAACAUGGAACGAGGGUUGCGCUCGUUGCGGGACUUAACCCAACAUCUCACGACACGAGCUGACGACAGCCAUGCACCACCUGCACACCAACCACAAGGGAACGCCUAUCUCUAGACGCGUCUGGCGCAUGUCAAACCCAGGUAAGGUGGGGAUGACGUUCGAGAGUACUCC
rnacentral:misc_RNA from 1 species